rnacentral:rRNA from 1 species
UACGUAGGUGACAAGCGUUGUCCGGAUUUACUGGGCGUAAAGAGCGCGCAGGCGGUCGUUCAAGUCGAGUGUGAAAGCCCCCGGCUCAACUGGGGAGGGUCAUUCGAUACUGAUCGACUCGAAGGCAGGAGAGGGAAGUGGAAUUCCCGGUGUAGUGGUGAAAUGCGUAGAUAUCGGGAGGAACACCGGUGGCGAAGGCGGCAUCCUGGACCGGUAUUGACGCUGAGGCGCGAAAGCCAGGGGAGCAAACGGG